GCCGGCGUGGCGAAAUUGGUAGACGCAGGAGAUUCAAAAUCUCCCGGGGGCAACCUCUUGUCGGUUCGAGUCCGACCGCCGGUACCA
rnacentral:tRNA from 1 species